CUUGUUUCUGAUCAGUGAUGAAAGUUUCACGAAGAGGUGGCUGUGCUUCUGGAAUUAAGUGUUACAUAUGUUAGGAGAUGUAUUCAAAUCGAAUUUAUUUUUCAGUGCAGAUUUAGUAUACAUAUAUAUGGUGAAUUAAUAUAAUUAUUAGUGGUUUUCAGAAAUGCUUCAGCUGUUGCCAAUCCGAAGAUAUGCAGAUUAUAUUUUGACAGAAAAAAGACCCAGUCAAUUCCUCUCAUAAAGGGCGAACUUCAAGAACAACAUGGCUUCUGCAUCAAGAACCGACUGGAGGCAAAAAUAAAAACGACCCAGAAAACUUCAGUAAGUUACAAGAUGAAGACAAGCAUGGAAGUAUCAUGUUAUUGAUGUUGUUUUCUACUGUGCAAUUUGGAAGUGAAUGCUGGCACUUAGAUGGUGUAAUUAUGAAAGUAAAGUUAGUUUCAAAACAAAUCAUAAGGUGCACACGAUUUCACAUAUUUCAGGGGUGAUAAACAACAAUAAAUAUUCAGCAAAAGCGAUAGUUUCUCGAAAAGUGGUUUGCUUUUGAAAGAAAGUGUUAAAUGUGUUAGACUGGAUUUAACUUCAACACUGUUUGGAAUAUGCGUAGAUAAAGUGAAGGAGUAUAAUUAAAAGUGAUAAUAAAUCUGACACGCACAUAGAUAUGAUAAGGAUAUAUAGUUAUUGGUGAUAUUCAGAUUAGAUGUAAUAUUCAAGACAAUUUGAAAUUUUCAUAAAGAGAUGGAAUGUUGUUACUUGUGUGUUCGUUUCAUUCUAAUUAAUAUUUACUCAAACAGAACUAUCUGGAAUAUGAUUAUAUAAAAGGAAGAAAUAUAAUUAGUGAAUUUGAAAUAAUUGAUACUGGAAUGGAGCCUCUGAAAGCCUUUGAAGUUAUUGAUGCGUUUGUAUAAUUCAAAGGUGGAGAAAUAACAAUCAAUGUGCACGACAUCUUUCUCAAAUGGCUAUUAGAAAAGUUAACAUCAAUCUGUUUCGUCUGACAAUCAGUUGUCAUUGAUCAGAAUUGAAAAUAUCGCGAGGUUAUGGUAUGAAAUAUUACGUGCUUAUACUAUGUACUCAAACAGGAUGGAUUAAAUUUCCAAUGCAAUUAAGAUUACACAUAUAGAGAAUGAGCAUAAUUAUUUGUGAGAAGGUUUUAUAAUAACAAUAAUAAUAUAAUAUAUGUAUUUAAAUUGGAUUAAAAUUUUUCAACGGAGUUUGACUUAGAUCUAGUGAUAUGAUUAUUUGUGGGUUUAAUUAUAACUAUGUUUGUGAAUUCAAACUAGAUCUUACUGGAAUAUACGUAGCCAAAGCGAAGGAAUAUAGCUAUUUGUGAUAAUCUGGUCGGAUUAAUUCUGAACAAAAUUUGCAAUACGCAAGAAUAAUUGUCAGUACAAUUUGGAAUAUUCACAGACAUAAUGAAAAGAUGUAACUAUUGGUGAUAUUCUGACCGGAUUUAAUUUCAAUACAAUUCGGAAUAUUCAUACAUAUUGUGAAUGUAUAUUAUAAUUGAUGAUGACAAUGUUUCAUACAGGUUGAAUUGUGAAUAGCUAUAGUAAAGGAAUAUCAUUAUCGGGCCGUCGCCGGCUUCGAAAAUGUGGUCCGGCCAUGGGACGUCGAAGGCGUCCCGCGAGUGGCAAAGGCAGGAGAAGGGGAGAACAGGAGAGGAUGUUUCCUCCUCUCGUAAGGAGGUUGUGGAGGAUCUCCCCCAGGAAAUCUUAAGAUUUGGGAUGCCCAAUCAAUAUGGAGGACAGCUUUCGCCAAUACUUUCUGACAAGUUUUUAACUGUUUUCAAGCCUUUGAGUUUCACUAAAGAUGAAAGACGUGGCUGUGCUUUUGCAAUUAAGUGUAAUGAGUUAGAAUAUAUUAUAGAAAUUCGAAAAUAUAUAGCAAAAUAUUCUUGGAUAUAACUUUCAAUACCGUUUAGAAGACGGGAUAUAAAUGAAGGUGCUAUUUAAAUGGAUUUUAUUGUCAAUACAAUUUGGAAUGUGCAUCGCUAUGAUAAGGGAAUAUUCUUAUUAGUGAUGUUCAGAUUAGAUUAUUUUUUUUUAAGAAUUUUGGAAGUCAAUUAUUUUUAUUAUGCUUUAUUUUGAUUAAUGUUUGCUAAAAUCGAACUUAAUUAUUAAUGCAAUCUGGAAGAUACUUAGAUAUAGAGAAACAGUAUAAUUAUUGGUGAGUAUAUUUUGCAAUCAGAUUUAAUUUUUUCAACAUAAUUAAGAACACGGAAGGACAUGGUAAAAGAUAUAGUUAUUGGUUUUAUUAAAACUGGAUUCAAUUUUCAACAAAACUUGAAAUAUAUAUAUAAUAUAUUAUAGAGAUAAAAGAAGAGGAAUAUAAUAAUUGGUGAGAUUCAAAACGUAUUGAAUUAGCACUUCUUUCUAAAAUAUAUGUAUAUAUAAUGGAAUAUAAAAAGUUUUUUCUUUGUUUUUGUUGGGUUUAACGUCGCACCGACACAAUCAUAGGUCAAAUGGCGAUUUUGCAGCUAUGGUGGUGGAGAAAGACCCCAGGUGCCCCUCCGAGGGGUAUGUCAUUGUUCAAUUAAAGAACUGAAAUCACGUCGAAAUAAAAAAUAUUGUUUUUUGUAAUUCAUGAAUUUAUUGCAAAAAGAGUAAAAAAUAAAACUAAAAUAAAGAUAAUAGUCAUUGAUAAAAUAAAAAAUAUAUAUGUUUAAAUUGUGAAACUUUUGCUGAAGGCAGAUUUAAAUAAUAAAAAAUGUCAUCACAAUAAAGAACAUUACAUUUAAUAUUAACAACUGUUUAUUAAUGUAUGUCUUAUCAUUAUUCAAAAAUAAUAAAGACCAGUAUAUACAAUAUGCACAAUUAGGUGUUCCCGGCGAGUGAUUCGAUUGCUAUAAUCGGGCAGGGGUCCAUUAAAAAUGUUAACAUAUAAAUCAUAAACUUAAAAAAUGAGUAACAUGAUAAAACUUGUAUAGAUAGGUUAAUCAGCGUUCAGUUGAAAACAUCGUGUGAGUCAUAAUUAAAUUCACAUAAAUUUUAAGUCAAGCACAUGCUUAAGGCCCCACAGACCUUUGAUUUUCAUAAGAAGUAUAGCCGGAUUACUUCGACAAAAGCGGAAGAAGCUUUUUAAAGAGGUUGUUCCGUUUUGGCACACAUUAUGUCUAAAUGCCACAUAUAAAAUGCAACAUCCCUUGUUUACUGCGACUGUUUAGUUGUAUGAAAAACAAUCUAAUAUAGGGCCUCCAGAUUCUGAAAACCAAGUAACUUGAAAAGCAAGUAUGCUCUAUAAACAUGAUAAAUAUUUGUAAUUUUGACAGCUCUACGUUCUCAUCUUUUCAUUUUGCUAUUUCUAAAACUGUUUAUGCGUUAAUAUUUAUUUUAUAGACAAAAUAAUCAACGAAGUAUUUGUUUCAUCAAUUUUAGCAAAUAUUUACCUUUUCAGUAUCAGCGACAUGCAUCAUUGUAUACAUAUUUCCUGUCAGGUCAAAUUUGAAAAAUAAAUGCAUUAUGUUUUGUAUAAAUGUACGUGUUAAGCUGUCAAAACUUUAAUUCUUGCUGUGGGUGCCGUCUUGUAGCAAAAGAAAACACGCUUACUUCAGUAAGAAUUCUAGGUUCAGUUCAUAGAAGGACACCAUGACACAAAGAAUAGGUAGAUAUUUAUUCAUAUAAGAAUAAAGUAAGGACUAAUUCAUUAUUAUCUCAAGAUACAGGUAUCAUUGUUUUUCUUGGUCUGUUUUUGACUAGUUAAGUAUUGACUGGAAGGUCAAUAAAUCAAAAAAGAAAUCGCACCUCUACCACCAAACUUGCGUCAAAAAACUGCAAACAAACAAUAUUAUUCAAUAAAAAAUACUUACAAUUUUCACUUUUUAGGAGAAUAGAGUUUUAAUUUGUCUGCACUGCAAGCUAAUAAUAUCAAAUGAUAUCUUUAAAUAGAAGCCGGAUCGUAAUAUUAUUUUCUUUAAGAUGAGGAUUUGUCAUAUUUUGCCUUUUGCUGCUGAGGCGAUAAAAUUUUUUGGAGGUUUCAGGAUGUCCAGUUUUAUGACUUUAGGCAUAUUGUUAAUUUUAUUUCUGUAAAAUGUUGUUUAGAUUGGACACAUUUAAGAUUUGAUUGGGCGCAUUCAAGUUUUUCAUGGUAGUAAACGAGAGUGCGUGUUAAUUGUGUUAAGAAUUACUGUAUGUUUUCACUGGUUUUAGGUUAUUGUGCAGAAAUCUUUUUAAAGUUUUCCAGUUUCACAUAUUGCAAUAGGUUCUCUCCACACUCCAAAAUUGUUAAAAUGUACAAAACUGUCCGGCUUCAAAUACGAGAUAUAUUAUAAAAAUGAUAACGCUUUAAUUUGACAAAAUACAUCUUUGGUGAUUUCAUUUUCUAUGCCUGUGUUACAGACAAAUGACUAAUUUUCCUUUGUUAACAACUUAGUUAAUUCAAAAGCACAAUUAACGUGCUUUAGAUAUUUUAUCUAAUUGUAGAGAUGUAAGCAUUAAAAACAAACAUAAGCAAAAACAAUUCAUCUUUUGCAUGCAAACAUUCCUUACAUCUCCUGAAUUAGAAAUAAACUACACUACCGAAGCUUUUCAGAGUUUCAUAGCACGACAAUGGUAAAUAAUAACGAAACACAAAAUAACGACUUUUUCUCUCAUUUUAUACAACUUUCAUUCACGUUUGGUUUAUGAAAUGAUGAAAAAAUGCAGUGUCUCAGUAAAGAAAAUACAUUAAAAAAAAUUCAAAAG